UCUCCGUUGGUGAACCAGCGGAGGGAUCAUUACAGGACUCGCAAGACUCCUUCACCCUGUGAACCUCACUACAAGCACGUUGCUUCGGCGGGUGCCCCGGCGGGGGUUUUCCCUCGCCGGGGCACACAGCCCGCCGGCAGCCUACUAUACUCUGUCUCUUUGCGUUGGCAUCUCGAGAAAAAACAAACAAGUUAAAACUUUCAACAACGGAUCUCUUGGUUCUG
rnacentral:misc_RNA from 1 species